rnacentral:rRNA from 1 species
GUGACCUGCGGAAGGAUCAUUAUUGAAUAAACCUGAUGUGGCUGUUAGCUGGCUUUUCGAAGCAUGUGCUCGUCCGUCAUCUUUAUCACUCCACCUGUGCACAUUUUGUAGUCUUGGAUACCUCUCGAGGCCACUCGGAUUUUAGGAUCGCUGUGCUGUACAAGUCGGCUUUCCUUUCAUUUCCAAGACUAUGUUUUUAUAUACACCAAAGUAUGUUUAAAGAAUGUUAUCAAUAGGAACUUGUUUCCUAUAAAACUAUACAACUUUCAGCAACGGAUCUCUUGGCUCUCGCAUCGAUGAAGAACGCAGCGAAAUGCGAUAAGUAAUGUGAAUUGCAGAAUUCAGUGAAUCAUCGAAUCUUUGAACGCACCUUGCGCUCCUUGGUAUUCCGAGGAGCAUGCCUGUUUGAGUGUCAUUAAAUUCUCAACCCUUCCAGCCUUUUUUUUAUUGGCUUGGUUUGGCUUGGAUGUGGGUGUUGCAGGCUUCAAUAAUGAGGUCAGCUCUCCUUAAAUGCAUUAGCGGAACUUUUGUGGACCGUCUAUUGGUGUGAUAAUUAUCUACGCCGUGGAUGUGAAGCAGCUUUAUAUGAAGUUCAGCUUCUAACCGUCCAUUGACUUGGACAAUUUUUGACAAUUUGACCUCAAAUCAGGUAGGACUACCCGCUGAACUUAAGCAUAUCAAUAAGCGGAGGAAAAGAAACUAACAAGGAUUCCCCUAGUAACUGCGAGUGAAGCGGGAAAAGCUCAAAUUUAAAAUCUGGCAGUCUUUGGCUGUCCGAGUUGUAAUCUAGAGAAGUAUUAUCCGCGCUGGACCG